UACGUAGGGUGCAAGCGUUGUCCGGAAUUAUUGGGCGUAAAGAGCUCGUAGGCGGUUUGUCGCGUCGAAUGUGAAAACCCGGGGCUCAACUCCGGGCCUGCAUUCGAUACGGGCAGACUAGAGUUCGGUAGGGGAGUCUGGAAUUCCUGGUGUAGCGGUGAAAUGCGCAGAUAUCAGGAGGAACACCGGUGGCGAAGGCGGGUCUCUGGGCAACAACUGACGCUGAGGAGCGAAAGCGUGGGGAGCGAACAGG
rnacentral:rRNA from 1 species